rnacentral:rRNA from 1 species
CCUACGGGAGGCUGCAGUGGGGAAUAUUGGACAAUGGGGGCAACCCUGAUCCAGCCAUGCCGCGUGUGUGAAGAAGGCCCUCGGGUUGUAAAGCACUUUCAGUGAGGAAGAACGCCUGGUGGUUAAUACCCAUCAGGAAAGACAUCACUCACAGAAGAAGCACCGGCUAACUCCGUGCCAGCAGCCGCGGUAAUACGGAGGGUGCGAGCGUUAAUCGGAAUUACUGGGCGUAAAGCGCGCGUAGGUGGCUUGAUAAGCCGGUUGUGAAAGCCCCGGGCUCAACCUGGGAACGGCAUCCGGAACUGUCAAGCUAGAGUGCAGGAGAGGAAGGUAGAAUUCCCGGUGUAGCGGUGAAAUACGUAGAGAUCGGGAGGAAUACCAGUGGCGAAGGCGGCCUUCUGGACUGACACUGACACUGAGGUGCGAAAGCGUGGGUAGCAAACAGGAUUAGAUACCCUAGUAGUC